GGAAUAUAAAAAUCUGUCUCUUAACUUUUAACUAAAAAAGUUAAGAACCGGUUCUUAAAUAAGAGUUUUAAGAACCGGUUCUUAACUUUUUUAGUUAAAAGUUAAGAGUCGGAUUCUUAUAUUCC
rnacentral:pre_miRNA from 1 species